CGGAUUGGAGCUGCAACCCGACUCCAUGAAGCUGGAUUCGCUAGUAAUCGCGCAUCAGCCACGGCGCGGUGAAUACGUUCCCGGGCCUUGUACACACCGCCCGUCAAGCCAUGGAAGCCGGGAGUGCCUGAAGUACGCGACCGCAAGGAGCGUCCUAAGGUAAAACCGGUGACUGGGGCUAAGUCGUAACAAGGUACC
rnacentral:rRNA from 1 species